rnacentral:lncRNA from 1 species
UUAAAUAAAAAUAAAUAAAAAUAUUGUUCUCUAAUUUAAUUUAAUUUAGUAUUAGAGUAUGAGAUGCUGAGUUUGAGUCACGUUAUACUCCUAACAUAAUUUUUUUUUUUUUCAUUCAAUUAAAAUCCAUAUCAUGAGUUUAUCAAAAAGCCUUAAACAUAGACGUGAAAAAAAAUGUUGAAUAUAAAUACGUACGAACGAAGUCAGGAAUUGAGGUAUAGGGG